UGGUGCAUUAGAUAUUGGGCGGAGCAGGCGCUGUGGCAGAAGGGAAGAUGGCGGACGAGGAGAAGCUGCCGUCCGGCUGGAAGAAGCGCAUGAGGCGCAGCUCAGGCCGAGUGUACCACUUCAACCACAUCACUAACGCCAGCCAGUGGGAGCGGCCCAGUGACAACAGCAGCAGUGGUGGCAAAAAUGGGCAGGGGGAGCCUGCCAGGGUCCGCUGCUCACACCUGCUGGUGAAGCACAGCCAGUCAAGGCGCCCUCGUCCUGGCGGCAGGAGAUCCCCCGGACCAAUGAGGAGGCCCUGGAGCUUAUCAACGGCUACAUCCAGAAGAUCAAGUCAUGAGAGGAGGACUUUGAGUCUCUGGCCUCACAAUUCAGCGACUACAGCUCAGCCAAGGCCAGGGGAGACCUGGGCGCCUUCAGCAGAGGUCAGAUGCAGAAGCCAUUUGAAGACGCCUCGUUUGCGCUGCGGAUGGGAGAGAUGAGCAGGCCCGUGUUCACGGAUUCUGGCAUCCAUAUCAUUCUCCUCAUAGAGUGAGGGUGGGGAGCCCAGGCCUGGCCUCUGGGUGGGGCAGGGCGGCUGGGCCCGCCAGCUCCGGCACUGCCUGCUGGCCGGUGGUCAACCCCCCUACUCCCUGCCACCGUCAGACAGUAUUUAUUGUUCCCAAAAUGGCCGGGAGGGGACCCUUCCAGAUUGGGGGCCCUAGAGUCCCCACUCCCUGUCCAUUCCCAGUUGGGGCUGCGACUGCCAGGCUCUCCCUUAAGGAAUUGACUUCAGCAGGGGUGGGAGGCGCCCAGAACCAGGGCAGUGUGGUGGGAGGGGUGUUCCAAAGAGAAGGCCUGGUCAGCAGAGCCGCCCCGUGUCUCCCCUGGUCCUGGAGGCAGACUCGAGGGCCGGGUUGUUUCUAUUAGGCCACCCUCCUCUGUUGAGUUGCAAAAAGCAACACUCGUGCGGCCCAGCAGUGGGCCCUCUGAGCAACCGUGCAGCACCCUCUUACCUCCAAUUAAACACCCAGAACCACU